rnacentral:rRNA from 1 species
GACAUACUAAGAACUUCCAGAGAUGGAUUGGUGCCUUCGGGAACUUAGAUACAGGUGCUGCAUGGCUGUCGUCAGCUCGUGUCGUGAGAUGUUGGGUUAAGUCCCGCAACGAGCGCAACCCUUUUCCUUAUUUGCCAGCGGGUCAUGCCGGGAACUUUAAGGAUACUGCCAGUGACAAACUGGAGGAAGGCGGGGACGACGUCAAGUCAUCAUGGCCCUUACGGCCAGGGCUACACACGUGCUACAAUGGUCGGUACAAAGGGUUGCUACCUCGCGAGAGGAUGCUAAUCUCAAAAAAGCCGAUCGUAGUCCGGAUCGCAGUCUGCAACUCGACUGCGUGAAGUCGGAAUCGCUAGUAAUCGCGGAUCAGAAUGCCGCGGUGAAUACGUUCCCGGGCCUUGUACACACCGCCCGUCACACCAUGGGAGUUUGUUGCACCAGAAGUAGGUAGUCUAACCGCAAGGAGGACGCUUACCACGGUGUGGCCGAUGACUGGGGUGAAGUCGUAACAAGGUAGGCGUAGAUGA